rnacentral:rRNA from 1 species
GAUGAACGCUGGCGGCGUGCCUAAUACAUGCAAGUCGAGCGAACGGACGAGAAGCUUGCUUCUCUGAUGUUAGCGGCGGACGGGUGAGUAACACGUGGAUAACCUACCUAUAAGACUGGGAUAACUUCGGGAAACCGGAGCUAAUACCGGAUGAUAUUUUGAACCGCAUGGUUCAAAAGUGAAAGACGGUCUUGCUGUCACUUAUAGAUGGAUCCGCGCUGCAUUAGCUAGUUGGUAGGGUAACGGCUUACCAAGGCAACGAUGCAUAGCCGACCUGAGAGGGUGAUCGGCCACACUGGAACUGAGACACGGUCCAGACUCCUACGGGGGGCAGCAGUAGGGAAUCUUCCGCAAUGGGCGAAAGCCUGACGGAGCAACGCCGCGUGAGUGAUGAAGGUCUUCGGAUCGUAAAACUCUGUUAUUAGGGAAGAACAUAUGUGUAAGUAACUGUGCACAUCUUGACGGUACCUAAUCAGAAAGCCACGGCUAACUACGUG